GUGUUUUCUGUUUGAUGGCAGGCUCAAGGAUAGAGCUGGUGUGUUCAGCAUUUCUUGGGGUCGGUGAAGGCAUACUGACCACAUAGAACAGCUCAACGUGACAAAGACAACAAUCCUUUUUAGGAGUAGUGGGGUCUAUGGCCAGUGCACUCUGUCCAUCUCUGAGGUCCGUUCUGAAUUCCUCAAUGUGCCUAUCAGCUGCAUCGCCAGGAAUGCCCUGGGUCGGGACAUAGGGCUGCUACUCCUCCAACCAGCCAUUCACAGUGGUUUCUACGCAUGCAUGUGUCUCUGCCUGGUAUUUUCUAUGGCUGUAAAGUGGACCUGGUGUUGGCCUAUAGGAAACUGAACAACCUUGUGCCCAAAA